UGGGGAAUUUUGCACAAUGGGGGAAACCCUGAUGCAGCGACGCCGCGUGAUUUAGAAGGCCUUCGGGUUGUAAAACUCUUUUCUAUGGGAAGAAAAUGACAGUACCAUAGGAAUAAGGACCGGCUAAUUACGUGUCAGCAGCCGCGGUAAUACGUAAGGUUCGAGCGUUGUCCGGAAUCAUUGGGCGUAAAGGGUACGUAGGCGGGUAAGCAAGUUAGAAGUGAAAUCCUAUAGCUCAACUAUAGUAAGCUUUUAAAACUGCUCAUCUUGAGGUAUGGAAGGGAGAGUGGAAUUCCUAGUGUAGCGGUGAAAUGCGCAGAUAUUAGGAGGAAUACCGGUGGCGAAGGCGACUUUCUGGCCAUAACCUGACGCUGAGGUACGAAAGCGUGGGUAGCAAACAGG
rnacentral:rRNA from 1 species